rnacentral:rRNA from 1 species
CCUACGGGAGGCAGCAGUGAGGAAUAUUGGUCAAUGGACGAGAGUCUGAACCAGCCAAGUAGCGUGAAGGAUGACUGCCCUAUGGGUUGUAAACUUCUUUUAUAUGGGAAUAAAAUGUUCCACGUGUGGGAUUUUGUAUGUACCAUAUGAAUAAGGAUCGGCUAACUCCGUGCCAGCAGCCGCGGUAAUACGGAGGAUCCGAGCGUUAUCCGGAUUUAUUGGGUUUAAAGGGAGCGUAGGUGGAUUGUUAAGUCAGUUGUGAAAGUUUGCGGCUCAACAGUAAAAUUGCAGUUGAAACUGGCAGUCUUGAGUACAGUAGAGGUGGGUGGAAUUCGUGGUGUAGCGGUGAAAUGCUUAGAUAUCACGAAGAACUCCGAUUGCGAAGGCAGUUCACUGGACUGCAACUGACACUGAGGCUCGAAAGUGUGGGUAUCAAACAGGAUUAGAUACCCCUGUAGUC